UAAAUAAAGUGAUGAAAAUAAAAAUAAAAAAGUAAGACGAUGUAACUCUUUAGAACUAUUAGAUCAUUCACUUUUUUCAUUUCUUUUCUUUUUUCACGAAAUUCUUGAUCUAAACAUAGCAUAAAACACCUCCAAACUUCAACUUCAUCAAUUGCAAAUCCAUGUGAGGACAUACUCAAAGCAGAGGUCAAGUUCGAAACUGGCCUUAGCUAUGCCUCUUUUUGUAUAUUUCCUUGAUAAUAUCUGAAUCUGUGUGUGGUAUUUAAAAUGCAUUCCCUGAAUCUCUAUAGUAAGGUUUUAAAAUUUUAUUGCUAUUUCCAUAAUUGAAACUCAGUGACAGUAAGUAUAUAUAUCACUUCACUUCAAGAAAGUGAAGUGAUACCGUCUUAUUUGAAUGUAAUAUUUAAUAUUCAAAAUUUAUUAACUUUUAUGUGUAUGUGAGGUCCAUUAUAUCUAUAUUCUAGUUUUUAAUAGAUGGUGAUAUCGCAUGUAGAGAUGGCAAUCUCCGCUCCACCCUGCCUCCACCCUAAUUGAGGCGAAUAUCCACAUACUUUUAGGAAAUGGAGUGAGGAUAAAGAAAAAUGUGAACAUGUCGAGGGAUCAUUAUGCAUACCUCCAUUCCAAAUCUCUUCUUUGAAUGAUAAGAAGCACAAUCACUUAAACUAGGCUAAAGUCUAAUUCAAACAUAGCCUUAACAACUCCAUAUUAUAGAAACAAAAACUAAGUAAUAGUGAACUUAAAAAUUGGGCGUAUCCCAAUUUGUAUUACUAUUUUUUUCCUAGCUUCUUAUUUGCACCUCACAAUUAAAAAAUCUAUAAUCUGUUGAAAGAAACUGCACUAGUAAAUGAUAUGGUUAGAAGUUACAGGAUCUAAAGGUUCGAGAUGAUUGAAUCAUCUAACGUUUCUAAUGUCAGAGUCAAGAGUAAAUGGGUCAAAAAGAGAUUUCUGUAAAAGCACAACGCAAGGUGUAAUUACCCAAAAAUAAUACUGAGUCAACACAAGUGAGUCAAAAGCCGAGUGAACGAACAACGCAAAGUGUCAGAAACGCACCUUGGAUGUGGAGAGCCUUUGUUUUGAAUCUUUGAUGGGUUGUGACCGUUCAUAGAGCCGCACUUCCUCUUCCCCUACGACGAAGGCCGCGGCGGCCGACCACUCCCUGCCGACGCCGACGACGACAACGAAUUCGCCGCUGAUUUUUUGAGGAAGCGGAAGUAAACAAUAAACCCUAGAAAUCGAAUCCGUUUUUUUUUAAUGGUCCGAUUCUGAUCCAACAGCUCUGAUUCUCUGAUUUUCUCUUGUUAAGAAUCUCUUGUUAAGAAAUCAUAGGGUCCUCUUCUGAAGCGAGCGUGGCCGAUUUUGGUCCGAUUGAUCAUAGUGAAAAAACAUGGCCCUAGUCAUAAUGGGUCCCGCAUAAUAAUGGGUCCCAAAGUCAACAAGGAUCAUGACUAUAUUUAGCCUGGUAAUGCUUAAAAGCAAAUUUUUUUUUUAGUUUGCUACUAAAAAAUUUAAAAAAUUUAAAAAAUUUAGAUUUUUUUGCUUUCAUAUAUUUACUUUAGCUAAAAAAAAUUAAAAAAAUCAACUCUAGUGGUUUUUUUGCUUAUAAGCUUAACGUCUUGUCAGGGCAAAUGUUUUUUUUGAAUUUUUUUAAUAGUCUUAACUUUUGAUUUUUUUUUAUUUUAAAUAAUUUUUUUAAUUAUUUUAUUAAAAUUUUAUAUUUUAUCGAUUCUUCUGUGGAUGGAAAUCCAAAAAUAUAAAUAAUUUUAUAUAAUUUAUAAAAAAACUCACUAAAGAUAAAAAAUUAUUUUUUAGAUUUUUUUGAAUGAAAUUAUUAUUUUUGGCCUUUUGUAUUUUUUUUCAAAUUAGAUGAAUAUUUUUAUAUUUUUAGACUAUAAUCAAGAUCAAAUGGAAAAAAGAGUUAACUAAAAUACCAAAAAACAGAGUCGGCAGAGAUUUGUAAAAGAAAAAAAAUAUUAAACUUGAAUCGUUAGAUUCGUUGACUUUUCUUUUUUUUUUUCUCUACCAAAUCAUAAAUCCAAAUAUAGCCUUGAACAAUUUAAGAUUGUAUUUCAAUAAAAAAAUUGGUAAGAUUUGUUAAGGAAAAUGAAAAAUUAAAAAAAAGAAAAUGCUACACAUCAUCCAAAGAACGGUGAUUUUUUUUUAAUAGGAAAGAAAUAUAUUGAUAAUUAUGAAAAUUGUAUAUAAAUUUAUAAAUAUUCGUAUUAACUACCGCUCAAUAAAUCUAACAAGCGAUGAUUGAGAGUGAAGUCAUGUGUCCAAUUGUUUUUGGUUUCAAUUUAUAUUUAUAUUUAAUGGGGUAUGAGGCCCAUAACCCAUGCACGCGAGAUCUAUUAUGUAUAUUAUUAAUUGAAUGACGAUAUGGAAUAAAAUUGAAUGAUAAGAAUAAGUUUGUAGAUAGAUUGUCAUAUUUUAAGACAAUUUUGAUUUGUAAUCAUACUGCUAUAAAUAUUAAAUCAAUUUAACUUUUUUUUUAUAGACAAUCUAUGUUCAUAGACUUAAAAAAAUGAAUCGAUUGAGAUCCUGUUUUGGGUAUUUAUUUAUUUUAUCUUUUUAUGUUAGUAAAUUUUUUUCAUCGUUUUUUUAAAUUUUAAAUUUUUUUAGUUUAUUUUGACAAGAAUAGUCCGAAGAUAGAUUUUUUUUUUAUCUAAUUUGAUUUUUUUUUAUUAAAAACGAUUAUAUUUUUUGACUCCUUUUGUCAAUAAAAAUUAAAAAAAUAUAAAUUUUUAAUCAAACAAAAAAAUAAAUUCACUAUAAAUAAAAACUUGAAAAUAAAAAAAUAAAAAUAUCCAAACUUGAAUCGAUGAAUCUUUUAGUCAUCCAAACCGGACCGACAUAGCACAAAAAUCAAAUCUAUUUGGAUAAACUGCAGAAUUCACGUGUAUACUGAAAAUCAAAGGCUGACAGCCUCGUCAAUCAGCGCAUUAAAUUGGAAAAUUAUUCAGUGCUUUGAGCGCAAGUCCUAGUAGUGUUCUAACAUUAGAAUGAUUGAUCUAAAAUACUGAUAUUCAUUAACUUUUGUGUAUAAAUUGUAGUCGACAUGUGCAAAUGUAUCACUCAGUAAAUGAUGUAGAGCAAUACUCUAAGAGUAUCGAAUAAUCUCUCAUUAAAUUUGGAUCAGCUGGGCUUGAAUCUGAACCGAAGUCCAGUUACAAGCAUUCACGAGGUGAGCAUCUUUUGUGAAGAUAGACCCAUCAUCCAUCCCGACCCAAUAGUGGCCGCAAAAAGUUCUGGCCCGGCCCACCUUCAUAGCACGUCCAAUUCAGAUCAUUUGUCCAAAUCGUUCGACCGAUUAGCCUAGAUUAUUCGGCCCGUUUUUUGGCCCAACCCAUCCGAUCCUCCACACUUCUCCAGCGCCAAGAACUGUACCAUUGGACUAAACUCAUUCAUUAAUAAAAAUAUUAAAUUUUAAUAAAUAAAUACAUCGUCAAAUAAUAAAAAAGAGGAGAAUUUUUUAGGGACCAAUAUUUGAACCCGCAACCUCGACCCUCUGCACCUAGAACCAUACUACUAGGCCAAACACUCAAUUCAUUUAUAAAAAGGUUAUGUUUUAAUAGUAAACAAAUCGCCAAACAAUAACAAGAAAAGAAGAAUAUUUGAGAGAGCAAGAUUCGAACUCACAACCUCCCUCCCCUGCAGCUUGAACCAUACUACUGGACCAAACACUUAUUCAUUUAUAAAAAUUAGUAAUUGUCCGUACCCACGAGCACUAUGUAAAAAAAAAUAUUACUUCUUAAGCAUACUCGUUAGAGUUUUGCAACAUAAAAAAACACAUAAGAUAUAAAUGUCAGAUAAGAGAUUUAUUGUAUGCAUAUACGAAAGGAUACAUUACUAUAAAAUAGAAAAUAAAUUAAAAAGUAUAAUAAUUUUUAAAAAAAUAUUACUAAUUUGAGAGAAAUGAGAAGAAAAGAAAGGGGGUUUUAUUUUUUUUGUAUGUGGGUCCCACUAAAAAAAUAAUUCAAUCAGUGAAACAUAUGCCCACAUUUUUAGAAAUUCUUUGGCUAUUGAACCACAACCUAUAUGAGACCUAUAACUUUAUAAAGAAGAAAAUAAUAUUUUUUGGGGAGAAAAACUAGUCUCAUGUGAAAUUUCAGUCAUUGGAUUAACUAAAAUGGAUUUCAACCGUAAAUAGUGUUUGAUAGUUUGAAAGAUUCAAAAAUUAUUGUGUCUUAUAUUAUAGAUAUUAGAUUUUAAUAAUAAACACUCAUUUGUUUAUGAAAAUAUAUUUAACAUUAUUUAUCAAUAGGCAAUAAAUGAAAUUAAUCUUUUGACUCUUUUAUUUGUUUAGUCAAUCCUAAUUUAUUGUUUAAUAGAAAUAAAUUAUUGUUGUAAAUUAUUAAAAUAUAAUUUUUAUUUUUUAUUUUUUUUAAAUAAUAAAAAAUAUUUGUAAUAUUAAAAAAAUAAACAUAUAUGAAAGAUAUAACAUUACAUUAAUUACAAAAUGUAUCAGAACGUCGCUAAAAUUAAAUAAAAAAAGCAUUAAAAAAUUAAACUGGACUUGUCCAUCCUGAACCGGACCGUUACUAGAGCAGUCAAGCCCGUUAUUAUAACGGUCUAGUCUAAUAGACCGAUCUAGGCCAGGAGAAUGGCUAACGGUCUAGGCAAAAUUCAAACCGUUACUUAGCGAUCUAAACAAACCCUAAAUUAGGGGUGUCCAUGGUCCAAAUUGGUCCGAUUUCAUAAGAAUCCAGUAACCAAUCCAUAUUUAACGGUUCUAAAAAAAUAAGAACCAGAACCUAACCAUACAAGUAUAGAACCAAACCAAAACCGAUCCGCGAUUAUCGGUUCGGUUCCGGUUCAAUCCAAUUAAUAUUUUAAAUAUUUUAUAAAAUAUAAAAUUAUAACAAUUAUUUAUUUAAAUAACCCAUAACUUCCAUUAAUACUUUAAGUCAUGAAACAAAAAUAGUAUAAAAUAGUUCAUAGAUUGACUCCUUAAAUGAUAUUACACCAAUCAACUCUAUAUUGCAAUUACCAACUCUAAAGUU
rnacentral:lncRNA from 1 species